UACGUAGGGUCCGAGCGUUGUCCGGAAUUAUUGGGCGUAAAGGGCUCGUAGGCGGUUCGUCACGUCGGGAGUGAAAACUCGGGGCUUAACCCCGAGCCUGCUUCCGAUACGGGCAGACUAGAGGUAGGCAGGGGAGAGCGGAACUCCUGGUGUAGCGGUGAAAUGCGCAGAUAUCAGGAGGAACACCAGCGGCGAAGGCGGCGCUCUGGGCCGGUACUGACACUGAGGAGCGAAAGCGUGGGUAGCAAACAGG
rnacentral:rRNA from 1 species